rnacentral:lncRNA from 1 species
AGACCUUAGCCCUAUUCUAAAUGACUGUGGACAGGCCCACAAUCAUUGCAAUCAUGACAAAAAUCCAACUCAUCCAUUAAGCAUUAUUACAAGCAUGCUUUCACGAAGUAGCAAUUGUUCAAUUAGUAAAAAAGAAAUAAAAACACACUCUCGCAUCUCUAUGCGUGUUUAUUACAAAUGGGGGAAACCUCCUAUGGGUCAAGGUUGGUGCCGGUGUUGGGGUCCUCGUGGUUCCUUGGGGGUGACUCCGCGAGGAUGAGUGGUACUUCUUCAACAUGACUCCCCUGCUGUUGCUUUAACAUGGAGUUCUCAACAGCCAACUCAAGGUAGGCCUUCCUCAGGGCAUCUAGCUCAUCUGAGACUCGAUCCAAGUCCGUGUUGGUUUGAGCCAAGCAUGCCAGGGUGGGUCGGAUCCUGGGAUUCCCUGCUACAAGUGGUGCAGCGAUGUUGCAGAUUGUCUAACCACUCCGCCGGCGGGGUAGAUAGCGAUCUUCUUCCCAUGCAAUGUCAGCAAAGUGGCGGUCGCGGUUCACCACCAAGGCCUGCCAGGCAGCGUCCCGGAUAGCUGGUGCACGGGUAGUCCUGGCGGUGAUCGCACGGUGGAUGUGAC